rnacentral:rRNA from 1 species
UACGUAGGGUGCAAGCGUUGUCCGGAUUUAUUGGGCGUAAAGAGCUCGUAGGCGGUUUAUCGCGUCUGCUGUGAAAACUCGAGGCUCAACCUCGGGCUUGCAGUGGAUACAGGCAGACUAGAGUGCGGUAGGGGAGACUGGAACUCCUGGUGUAGCGGUGGAAUGCGCAGAUAUCAGGAAGAACACCGGUGGCGAAGGCGGGUCUCUGGACCGUAACUAACGCUGAAAAGCGAAAGCGUGGAGAGCGAACAGG